rnacentral:rRNA from 1 species
UACGGAAGGCAGCAGUGGGGAAUAUUGCACAAUGGGCGAAAGCCUGAUGCAGCUAUGCCGCGUGUAUGAAGAAGGCCUUAGGGUUGUAAAGUACUUUCAUCGGGGAGGAAAAACAAAACUAAUAAUUUUAUUUCUUGACGUUACCCGAAAAAGAAGCACCGGCUAACUCCGUGCCAGCAGCCGCGGUAAUACGGAGGGUGCUAGCGUUAAUCAGAAUUACUGGGCGUAAAGAGCACGUAGGUGGUUUUUUUAAGUCAGAUGUGAAAUCCCCUGGGCUUAACCUAGGAACUGCAUUUUUGAAAACUGAAAUACUAGAGUAUCGUAGAGGGAGGUAGAAUUCUAGGUGUAGCGGUGAAAUGCGUAGAUAUCUGGAGGAAUACCUGUGGCGAAAGCGGCCUCCUAAACGAAUACUGACACUGAGGUGCGAAAAGCGUGGGGAGCAAAACAGGGAUUAAGAU